UACGGAGGGUGCGAGCGUUGUCCGGAAUCAUUGGGCGUAAAGGGCGCGUAGGUGGCCCGGUCAGUUCGUGGUGAAAGCGCGGGGCUCAACUCCGCGUCGGCCAUGAAUACUGCUGGGCUGGAGCACUGUAGAGGCAGGCGGAAUUCCGGGUGUAGCGGUGGAAUGCGUAGAGAUCCGGAAGAACACCGGUGGCGAAGGCGGCCUGCUGGGCAGUUGCUGACACUGAGGCGCGACAGCGUGGGGAGCAAACAGGG
rnacentral:rRNA from 1 species